GGGGGUACAGCUCAGUGGUAGGGCGCAUGUUUAGCAUGCAUGAAGUCCCGAGUUCAAUCCCCAGUACUUCUA
rnacentral:tRNA from 1 species